GACGAACGCUGGCGGCGUGCUUAACACAUGCAAGUCGAACGGAAAGGCCCUGCUUGCAGGGUACUCGAGUGGCGAACGGGUGAGUAACACGUGGGUGAUCUGCCCUGCACUUCGGGAUAAGCCUGGGAAACUGGGUCUAAUACCGGAUAGGAGCCAUUUUUAGUGUGGUGGUUGGAAAGUUUUUUCGGUGUAGGAUGAGCUCGCGGCCUAUCAGCUUGUUGGUGGGGUAAUGGCCUACCAAGGCGGCGACGGGUAGCCGGCCUGAGAGGGUGGACGGCCACAUUGGGACUGAGAUACGGCCCAGACUCCUACGGGAGGCAGCAGUGGGGGAGAUUGCACAAUGGGCGCAAGCCUGAUGCAGCGACGCCGCGUGGGGGAUGACGGCCUUCGGGUUGUAAACUCCUUUCGCUAGGGACGAAGCUUUUUGUGACGGUACCUAGAUAAGAAGCACCGGCUAACUACGUG
rnacentral:rRNA from 1 species